CAACCUCGGUGUAAGGACGCACAGCGCAGGGACACCCUGUGGGGAAGGGCUUCAGUGCACUGGUGAGGACCCACGCCAUUCCUGUAGCUAUAGUUGGACUCUGUCACCAGAUAGGCUUCACAGAGGCUGGGUACCCACACUUUGUACAUUGUGCUGCUGUGGAGACCACUUCAUAAGGUGCCAAUCUUUCAUCUAAACUGAAGCCAUAAGAUCUCACAUUAAUCCAGUAUGGCCAAAUCUCUUGCGUAAGUCUGCUUUCCAAUACAUCUUGCCUUCUGGCAUAGUAUUUGGGUAUGGACUUUAUAAAGCCCUUCUCC
rnacentral:lncRNA from 1 species